rnacentral:rRNA from 1 species
CUACGUGCCAGCAGCCGCGGUAAUACGGAAGGUCCAGGCGUUAUCCGGAUUUAUUGGGUUUAAAGGGAGUGUAGGCGGUUUGUUAAGCGUGUUGUGAAAUUUAGGUGCUCAACAUUUAACUUGCAGCGCGAACUGUCAGACUUGAGUACACGCAACGUAUGCGGAAUUCAUGGUGUAGCGGUGAAAUGCUUAGAUAUCAUGAAGAACUCCGAUUGCGAAGGCAGCAUACGGGAGUGUAACUGACGCUUAAGCUCGAAGGUGCGGGUAUCGAACAGGAUUAGAUACCCUGGUAGUCCGCACAGUAAACGAUGGAUGCCCGCUGUURGCGCCUGGCGUYAGCGGCUAAGCGAAAGCAUUAAGCAUCCCACCUGGGGAGUACGCCGGCAACGGUGAAACUCAAAGGAAUUGACGGGGGCCCGCACAAGCGGAGGAACAUGUGGUUUAAUUCGAUGAUACGCGAGGAACCUUACCCGGGCUUGAAUUGCAGAGGAAUUAUUUAGAGAUA